AUCGGAGGAUCUGCAGGACAGAGAAAAACAGAGUGUUAAUGUGCUCGAUUGAAGACUGAAGAUAAACAGGUCGUGACAGAUAUGUUCCCGUAGUAAAAUUACGCAUUCAACAAGUACUGACUGAACCUCUAUCCGGCUUUUACAUCAUAUUGCCCUGUGCGCUACAGGACUCUAUAGCAGUUUCUUUGUUCAGGAAUGACAGAGUGUUAUCGUUAGAAAGAUUUUCUUCUGUCUUAGAAGGCCCAAAUCGAGAUCACUUUGUUAUGUUCACGAAAGCAUAACACAUACGAUGAGAUUUCUACAGUUGAGAGUCUAGCACAAGUGGCUUCUACACGUUAAACCAAGGCCCAAUCGACCUGAAGAACGCAGUUCAUUGAGCUUUUCAGGCUCGAUGAUGAGCUCGACCCAUUUGGGAGCCCAAAUUCAAGAUAAGGUCUUGUGAGCCGUACAAAACGACGGUAACCUACGGUAAGCAGGAGAGAAAGCGACGUCUCUAAUAGUUGUCUUUAACACUUGACGAAACGAAGAGCUAUAAAAUCCAGCAAAUAGCAAGAAUUAAUUGGUAUACAUGUGCGUAUGAGAGAGCCGACUUGACCCCUAAAGAGAAUCCAUUGGCAGUUAGACGUACGCAGAUGAAUUUCUUGCUAAACUUGCGAGCGUAGAAGUACUUCUCAAUAUACACAUCAACAGAAAUGAUCGAUAGAUUGAUUACUGCAACAUGUUACCAUAAGGAUAAUCAGAAAGAGAAACUCCGUCGCGGCUAACGCAAAACACACAGGAUAUAGGUAAAUGUCGACAACUUACUUGCUAUGAAUCGAUCAUAAAACUUUCGUGGGAUCGUGACUAGCUGUUCAACCAUCUGGCUGGAGCCCAACUGUCGGACAAUUUCCAUUUGGGU